GGGAUAUUGCACAAUGGGGGAAACCCUGAUGCAGCGACGCCGCGUGAGUGAAGAAGUAGUUCGGUAUGUAAAGCUCUAUCAGCAGGAAAGAAAAUGACGGUACCUGACUAAGAAGCCCCGGCUAACCACGUGCCAGCAGCCGCGGUAAUACGUAGGGGGCAAGCGUUAUCCGGAUUUACUGGGGGUAAAGGGAGCGUAGACGGUGAAGCAAGUCUGAAGUGAAAGGCGGGGGCUCAACCCCCGGACUGCUUUGGAAACUGUUUGGCUGGAGUGCAGGAGAGGUAAGUGGAAUUCCUAGUGUAGCGGUGAAAUGCGUAGAUAUUAGGAGGAACACCAGUGGCGAAGGCGGCUUACUGGACUGUAACUGACGUCGAGGCUCGAAAGCGUGGGGAGCAAACA
rnacentral:rRNA from 1 species